rnacentral:lncRNA from 11 species
AAAAGUCCUGAGAAGGGAGGAGACCUGACAUCUUUGGAUCUGACUGAUACAACAGCAAUAAAGAACUAUGGUUUUGGAAUAUAUGCAUUUGGACUAUAUGUACAUACUGAGAUGCCCUGGAGUUGUGGCCCAAGCCUAAACACAAGAUUCAUUUAUGUUUCAUACACACCAUAUACACAUAGACUGAAGGUAAUUUUAUGCCC